rnacentral:rRNA from 1 species
GAUGAACGCUGGCGGCGUGCCUAAUACAUGCAAGUCGAGCGAACAGAUGAGAAGCUUGCUUCUCUGAUGUUAGCGGCGGGCGGGUGAGUAACACGUGGGUAACCUACCUAUAAGACUGGGAUAACUCCGGGAAAACGGGGCUAAUACCGGAUAAUAUUUUGAACCGCAUGGUUCAAUAGUGAAAGACGGUUUCGGCUGUCACUUAUAGAUGGACCCGCGCCGUAUUAGCUAGUUGGUAAGGUAACGGCUUACGAAGGCGACGAUACGUAGCCGACCUGAGAGGGUGAUCGGCCACACUGGAACUGAGACACGGUCCAGACUCCUACGGGAGGCAGCAGUAGGGAAUCUUCCGCAAUGGGCGAAAGCCUGACGGAGCAACGCCGCGUGAGUGAUGAAGGUCUUCGGAUCGUAAAACUCUGUUGUUAGGGAAGAACAAAUUUGUUAGUAACUGAACAAGUCUUGACGGUACCUAACCAGAAAGCCACGGCUAACUACGUGCCAGCCGCCGCAGUAA